UUCAUAAUAUAUUGAUUCUGAUUCAGGUUUCUGCAAGAAACAUUUCCUUUUUAAAUGAAGCAAGUCUUGUGGGUCCUAUAAAUCCCAAAUUGACAGUAACAGGAACCUCCCCUUGCAGUAAUGAAAGAAAUCACUGACACUAUUUCAAAUUCAUAGUUUCUUCUGAAGGUUUAAAGAAGAUGAAAACAACAAAGAGCAUCGACAACGUGAAAGACCCUGAGAUCAUUGGACACUAGUUGAUGGCUGUUGGAGGCCUACUGAGAAGAGGAAUGAGAUCUGCUUUCACCAUGAAGUACUUCCCUAGAAGUCAGCCAUGACACCCCAAAAGGUAUCUGAGCUGCUGAAGGCUAUCUUUGAGAUCUGUAAGAUACAAACUACAGAGAAAGGAUCAAGCCUUAUUUGGGUAGAGAUGCCAAAAAGAACAAAUGUCAAAGAAAAAAGAGAAAGAACAAAGGAGGCAAAUGGAAAGGAAACAACAUAUGAGGAAGAAACUUCAGCAAGAAAAGAAGGGAAGUCAGAGCAGGAAGGUGCAUACUAUACUGAAAACCUGCUUUGAAACCUCAAGAUAAAUUCUCAAUUCUACUGAUUAAAUGAAGUUUUUGUGUGCCCCAAAUUUUCAGUAAAAGUGACUAAUAAAAUUAACUUCAAAGAACUUGCUUGAGAUUUCAAUUUCUUCAGAAAAGUCCCAUGUCAAUACAUUCUGUGAUGUCCAGAAUAAAUACUGUUUCAUCAUCAUUUGGUUCACAUUUCUGUGAGUUUGACCUAAGAAGAUGUAGGGCUGCUAUGCACAG
ensembl:lncRNA